GAUGAACGCUGGCGGCGUGCCUAAUACAUGCAAGUCGAGCGAACGGACGAGAAGCUUGCUUCUCUGAUGUUAGCGGCGGACGGGUGAGUAACACGUGGAUAACCUACCUAUAAGACUGGGAUAACUUCGGGAAACCGGAGCUAAUACCGGAUAAUAUUUUGAACCGCAUGGUUCAAAAGUGAAAGACGGUCUUGCUGUCACUUAUAGAUGUAUCCGCGCUGCAUUAGCUAGUUGGUAAGGUAACGGCUUACCAAGGCAACGAUGCAUAGCCGACCUGAGAGGGUGAUCGGCCACACUGGAACUGAGACACGGUCCAGACUCCUACGGGAGGCAGCAGUAGGGAAUCUUCCGCAAUGGGCGAAAGCCUGACGGAGCAACGCCGCGUGAGUGAUGAAGGUCUUCGGAUCGUAAAACUCUGUUAUUAGGGAAGAACAUAUGUGUAAGUAACUGUGCACAUCUUGACGGUACCUAAUCAGAAAGCCACGGCUAACUACGUG
rnacentral:rRNA from 1 species